GGGACGCCGUACGUCCGCCGUCGCAACUCCCACGCGGCCCUCGCAUGCCUGCCCUCCUGUCUCGGCCGAUCGAUCCAUCCUCCCCGAUCCCUCUCCCCCUCGCCCCGAUUCCAUGCUGCCAGGGGCCCCUCUUCUGGUCCUUCGCGCACGCCGCCUCCGUCGCCAUGGCCUUCCUCUGGCUCAAGUUCUCCCAGUCGUUCCAGGUGCUCGCCAUCCUCGCGUCCACGCAGGCCCACUGUCCCACUCCAUCGCCUUCGGGUUCCGCUUCUGGGCCGGCACGGGCCUCCCGGCCGCCAUGGGCGCUCCCUAUGUCGCACUCGCCUGCUAGGUGGCGCGGUGGGCUGCAACCUAUUGUGCCACGCCAGCGUUGUGUGGAUGCAAUUCGGGGAAGCCGUCGCCGGCGGAUACGGUGGCAUCAGGGCGUGGCCCGUGUGGGUGUUAGCCCCUUCCCCUGCCUUGCUCCCCUCUGGGGUCUCCUUUCCCCUCCGCGGGAACCAGGCGUGAAGGCGUCUCCUAAUGGCGCCGCAAUUGCCGCAGACAGGGCCGAAUCCUUCGCCACCCCGUCGAGUUGUCGCCAUGCCGCACGAGGGACGCUGCUGCCCCGUCUACUGCAUCUGCUGACCUUGUGGACGGUACGUCGUACCUGCACGAAGGUGAACAUGGAGGCAUACGCGGGGCUCCAGGACAAGUUCUUCUCCCACUUCACCAUCAGAACGCUUGGAAUAAAUUAGGUGCUAUGCCCAGAGAAGAAUCUAUGGAGGAGUACAUUACAAUUGUUGAUGAGCUAUUUCCUAACUGGGCUGCUGGUUCCAAUGCAGAAAAGACCUACGAAAAGAAGUUCCCAUUCUUGUCUUCGAGCGUAUUAUUUUAUUUUGUUACUCCGUUGCAACGCACAGGCAUGCCCAGAUUUCUUCCCGUCGUCGGUGUCCUUCGGGUCCUUCGGGUCUCCUCACUCCCUGCAGUCGCGUGCCGAUAUAUAUAUGUAUAUAUAUCUAUUACAAUAUAUUAAAUUGGAACCGGUGGUGAUGGGUGGGCGCCGUUGGUCGGUAUUGGUCGGUCAACUUUGUUAAAAUUACAAUCAAUAUGCCACUGCCUUUUAUUUUCUUUC